rnacentral:rRNA from 1 species
AAGCGCUUAUGACCAGACUUGGACCCGGUGAAUCAUCCAGCGUUCUCGCUGGUGCACUUUGCCGGGCUCAGGCCAGCAUCAGUUUGCCUUGGGGGAUAAAGGCUUUGGGAAUGUGGCUCCCUCGGGAGUGUUAUAGCCCAUUGCACAAUACCCUGGGGCGGACUGAGGUUCGCGCAUCUGCAAGGAUGCUGGCGUAAUGGUCAUCAGCGA